CAGCCGCCACGGGAAUACAGAGGGUGCAAGCGUUAAUCGGAAUUACUGGGCGUAAAGCGCGCGUAGGUGGUUUGUUAAGUUGGAUGUGAAAUCCCCGGGCUCAACCUGGGAACUGCAUCCAAAACUGGCAAGCUAGAGUAUGGUAGAGGGUGGUGGAAUUUCCUGUGUAGCGGUGAAAUGCGUAGAUAUAGGAAGGAACACCAGUGGCGAAGGCGACCACCUGGACUGAUACUGACACUGAGGUGCGAAAGCGUGGGGAGCAAACAGGAUUAGAUACCCCCGUAGUCCCUGUCUCUUAUAA
rnacentral:rRNA from 1 species